ACGCACCCACAGAGCACCUAAACCAGCUUCAUCUUGGUGACAACACUGAAGAAACCUCCUGCUCUCUCUGCGUCUGGGUUGGUCCCCUUUACGCUGUAAACGCUUAUCAGUGAGUGUGACGGCGUGUGUGUGUCUGUGUGUGUGUGUGUGUGUGUGUGUGUGUGUGUGUGUGUGUGUGUGUGUGUGUGUGUGUGUGUGUGUGUGUGUGUGUUUUUGUGUCUCAGCGUUUCAUUCCUCUCGAUCCCACUGUGUUGCAGCAUGUGUGCGUUUCUGUGCAAGAGAGGAAAUCUGCAAUAAUUAGGCCUGUCCCCUGCCGAAAGUUGUUUGCUUAUUCCCGAAUACAAGCCGGCAUCCUGUUCUCUCGAUGUGCGUAAAUAUUCAGACUCAUGCAGAGAUGCAGUACAAUGACACACGCUCACAAAGGACCUGGCAUCAGUGCAAAAAGUGUAAGUGUGCUUUAUGAAAUCAAGGAGCAAAUUCCAAUCUCCACAGUCCUGCCUUUUUUUGCACAAACCCCUGACCCCUUUAACAGAGCAACAACAAGCUACCCUACAUAGGAACAAAGCAAGAAAAACACGCACAUGUACGCACUUCACCAAGGACUUAAAUACACAAAGUAAUGCAGAACAUUUGCUCUGAGCAAAACAAGAAACAUCAAACAGGUCUUCUUUAAGAGCCAACAAAUUUCAAAUGACCAAAAAAGGCUUCGGUGUAAGCAGGAGUGUUUGUGUGUCUUCUCAGUUAAGUCACGACUACAGUGCAGUCAGUACAGUCAGUCCAGACCUCUGCACUGUACUGUAGGCACGAUAAAGUGUGUGUGAUCCUGGUUUUUCUUAUCAUCGGACCAGAUUUCCUGCAUCACGACUUCCUAGAUAAAGAACCAAGGUCUGUGUUUGCAUCUUUUUGUGGAGGCUCUACUGACCACUGCCUAAACCUUCACCUCUAGCCAUAUGCACUUCUGUUGCUCUCUCCUCACUAGACUUAGUGGCUCUCUUAGGUUGACAACUCACCCCUCUCUUGUUCUUUCUUUUGCCCAGUUCUACCCCUUUUUUUUACCUCCUGUGCUAAGUAGCUACUACAGUUUUGGAGUAUUUCCUCCCCUCCAACCCUUGACCUUUUCUUCCAUUCUUCCUUCCCUUCUUUUGUCCUUUAUCUCCUCAUGCAGGUAGGUACUUCAGAAAAGACAGGUAGGCAUGGUACUUUACUAGAGUUACUUUUUCUUUCCCUCCGGUCCAGCCAAAGAGCUAUUGUGUGUGCUGAGAGGCUCUGAGUGGCCAUAGAGUGCGUCUGAAGGGAUCGGUUUCGAGACAACAAAGCAGAGGUCUCGGACAGUGUCUCCUGCCUUGUUCCUAGCAGGCAGCGACGGCCUCACUACAUGACAGGCUGAGGAGGGAGUCUGUGUGUGAGGGGCUUGUUAUGUAGAGUGUAUGUGUGUGUGUGUUUUUUCACCUUAACUAGCCUGUGUCCCAUGUGAUUACAAGUACAGAAAACAAUGGGAAAACCUAUCUCUCUUGCUACAUGAGGAGUGUCUGCAGUAUCUACUGUAUCGUGUGUGUGUUUCAGGUGUGACAGACGGGACAAAGUAGUGAUUUAUGGAGCUGUCUUGGAUGAGAAAGACUGUGUCUCUCCAUAAAAGAGAGGCGACACCACAGGAUAGUUAUAUAGCGUAAUGACGGGUCCUAUAACAGACAACGACACACGGGGGAAAAGGAAGAACAAUGCAGCACACACACACUGACACAGACAGCUUUUCAUCCUACUACAAUGACCCAUGGUCUGACCUGUCACAGAUUAUUGAUGACUGUUAAUGUACACCGCUUUGUCGUUUUGUGUUUGUGUGUGGCCCGCACCCUCUGAUCAUACCAGGAACAGAAAGUAAUCCUCUUUUUUAACAGAGAGCGCAAUCUUGUUCCAACUACCUUUCAGUACACUGGGGGGAUGAGUAUAAUUCAAUAUUGUUGUAUAUAAACUCACCGGUGUCAUAUUGUGUUGAUAUGAUCAUAUCAUGUUAUCAUUUUCAAAAUUCAUGUUUUCCGAAAUGACUGAUUCUGGCCAAGCCGUGAUUAAAAACUAAUAAAAUUUGGGUUUAUAUAAGUUUUUGUUUGUUUUAUAAAUAUGAAGAGUUGGUCUCAUGUAAUGCAAAACAGUUGAACAUAGUUUACAGUGGGAUUACAUUAUGUGUGAUUUUGCAUAUUUUGCCAUAUCAUGAUACAGUUUAUCCGUAUAAAAUUACUGGGGGCUCGUUAUUGAUUUUGAGUACACACAUAGUUUCUAUGAUACAUAAACACACUAAAGCCAGGCUCAGACUACAGGAGUUUUGGUCCAAUUUAUCCCUGAUUCACCCCUCCUGACAAACGGAGGAGAAAUCUGCUCUGGGACUUUGGUCUGUACAGAUGUUCGGCCCAGAUUAUCUGGUAAUGUGAGGGGUUUACAGAUCCGGUCUCAAACAACCCAAACUGUUCGAGCCGCCCCAAUACAUUUCAAACAUGUUUGAUGUUUAGGAGUUCAAAUCUGGGUGAUUAUGUCAGUACUAUCCUAGCGGGAAAUAUUUCUAAUAUUAACACAACGAUUUUCAAUUAUAUAACCCAAGCCAACUUUGGCAAUACCGUCAUUUUAUUGUGGUUUUGCGAAUAAAAAAGUAAACUGACCUACAUUAACUGUCUGCACACUUAAGUUCCUGCUCCUUACCAGUCCAUGAAGGACAUUUUGCAGACCGGAGCUGGAGUCUUAAGGGACACAAAGCGCCACAGCGGCUGCUCUCUCUCCUAGUAAAUCACUGACCCAGAACACAACUACUGUACACACACACACACACAAAAACACACAUGUAUCUCCCUCGAGAAGCAGAGACACAGCCUGUGAACCUCAUCACUCAGCGAGAGGAGAGGAAAGAGUGAUGAGAAAUGUCACAGGAGGAUCACCCCCCCCUCCUUUCCCGAGUGACCACUGCACCACUCUUUAAAGUGCAUCCUUCCUUUCUACUUCCUUUCCCUUCCCAUGAGGAACCAAUAAUCUGAAGAGGUUGGCUGAGGUGCCCGAGAGAAUCCUUUACUUGGGCAACCAACCUGCUGUACAGCAGAGUUACUUCAAAGAAAGGGGGGGGGGGGAAAGGAAGGAAGAAAGAAUCUUUUUUUAAGCAUAUUGCAUGAUAUGU